rnacentral:RNase_P_RNA from 1 species
CGGUCUGCCGCUGGCUUCAUCCGCAAGGACGAGGCGAGAGGAAAGUCCGGGCAACACAGGGCAUUCCGCUUCCUAACGGGAAGAGGUUCGCGAGGGCCUGUCGAUGCAGAAGAAAACAACCGCCACGCGCCAGCGGGGUAAGGGUGAGAAGGUGGGGCAAGAGCCCACCAGUCUGGUGGCGACAUCAGGGCUGUGCAUCCCGGAAGUUGAAAGUUCAUGUAUACCGGCGAACAAAAGAGAAGGCUGCCCGUCUGAGCCGGAGGGUAGAACGAUAGAGGUCGGCGGCGACGUCGGCAGUAGAUAAAUGGCAGACGCUCCCCACUGCGGGAGACACAGAACCCGGCUUACAGGUUCACUGU